rnacentral:misc_RNA from 1 species
UAUCACAAGCUCACUUCUUCCCCGAUGGCCAACAGACAGACACACACGCACACACAGACACGCAGAGAGACACACACGUAAGCGCAAGAGGAAAACGACAGCACCUCCAACUCCAUGAGAGCGUCGCCAUGACGUCGCUGAUGUCGGGGAUGUGCCGGCAACAGCAAAGAAGCGCAAAAAAAAAAAACAUCGAAAGGAUCCU